rnacentral:tRNA from 1 species
GGGAUGUAGCUCAGUUGGUAGAGUGCUUGCCUCGCAAGCACAAGGCCCUGGGUUCAAUCCCCAGCACCCA